rnacentral:rRNA from 1 species
UACGUAGGGUGCAAGCGUUGUCCGGAAUUAUUGGGCGUAAAGAGCUCGUAGGCGGUCAGUCGCGUCUGCUGUGAAAACUCGGGGCUUAACUCCGGGCCUGCAGUGGGUACGGGCUGACUAGAGUGCGGUAGGGGAGACUGGAAUUCCUGGUGUAGCGGUGAAAUGCGCAGAUAUCAGGAGGAACACCGGUGGCGAAGGCGGGUCUCUGGGCCGUAACUGACGCUGAGGAGCGAAAGCGUGGGGAUCAAACAGG